GGGUUGUGAGGUUAAGCGACUAAGCGUACACGGUGGAUGCCCUGGCAGUCAGAGGCGAUGAAGGACGUGCUAAUCUGCGAAAAGCGUCGGUAAGGUGAUAUGAACCGUUACAGCCGGCGAUGUCCGAAUGGGGAAACCCAGUGCAAUUCGUUGCACUAUCGUUAACUGAAUACAUAGGUUAACGAGGCGAACCGGGGGAACUGAAACAUCUAAGUACCCCGAGGAAAAGAAAUCAACCGAGAUUCCCCCAGUAGCGGCGAGCGAACGGGGAGCAGCCCAGAGUCUGAAUCAGCUUGUGUGUUAGUGGAACGGUCUGGAAAGUCCGACGGUACAGGGUGAUAGUCCCGUACACCAAAAUGCACAGGUUGUGAACUCGAAGAGUAGGGCGGGACACGUGGUAUCCUGUCUGAAUAUGGGGGGACCAUCCUCCAAGGCUAAAUACUCCUGACUGACCGAUAGUGAACCAGUACCGUGAGGGAAAGGCGAAAAGAACCCCGGCGAGGGGAGUGAAAAAGAACCUGAAACCGUGUACGUACAAGCAGUGGGAGCACCUUCGGGUGUGACUGCGUACCUUUUGUAUAAUGGGUCAGCGACUUAUAUUCUGUAGCAAGGUUAACCGUAUAGGGGAGCCGCAGGGAAACCGAGUCUUAACUGGGCGUUAAGUUGCAGGGUAUAGACCCGAAACCCGGUGAUCUAGCCAUGGGCAGGUUGAAGGUUGGGUAACACUAACUGGAGGACCGAACCGACUAAUGUUGAAAAAUUAGCGGAUGACUUGUGGCUGGGGGUGAAAGGCCAAUCAAACCGGGAGAUAGCUGGUUCUCCCCGAAAGCUAUUUAGGUAGCGCCUCGUGAACUCAUCUUCGGGGGUAGAGCACUGUUUCGGCUAGGGGGUCAUCCCGACUUACCAACCCGAUGCAAACUACGAAUACCGAAGAAUGUUAUCACGGGAGACACACGGCGGGUGCUAACGUCCGUCGUGAAGAGGGAAACAACCCAGACCGCCAGCUAAGGUCCCAAAGUCAUGGUUAAGUGGGAAACGAUGUGGGAAGGCACAGACAGCCAGGAUGUUGGCUUAGAAGCAGCCAUCAUUUAAAGAAAGCGUAAUAGCUCACUGGUCGAGUCGGCCUGCGCGGAAGAUGUAACGGGGCUAAACCAUGCACCGAAGCUGCGGCAGCGACACUAUGUGUUGUUGGGUAGGGGAGCGUUCUGUAAGCCUGCGAAGGUGUGCUGUGAGGCAUGCUGGAGGUAUCAGAAGUGCGAAUGCUGACAUAAGUAACGAUAAAGCGGGUGAAAAGCCCGCUCGCCGGAAGACCAAGGGUUCCUGUCCAACGUUAAUCGGGGCAGGGUGAGUCGACCCCUAAGGCGAGGCCGAAAGGCGUAGUCGAUGGGAAACAGGUUAAUAUUCCUGUACUUGGUGUUACUGCGAAGGGGGGACGGAGAAGGCUAUGUUAGCCGGGCGACGGUUGUCCCGGUUUAAGCAUGUAGGCUG
rnacentral:rRNA from 1 species